CCUACGGGUGGCAGCAGUGGGGAAUAUUGCACAAUGGGGGAAACCCUGAUGCAGCGACGCCGCGUGAGUGAAGAAGUAUCUCGGUACGUAAAGCUCUAUCAGCAGGGAAGAAAAUGACGGUACCUGACCAAGAAGCCCCGGCUAACUACGUGCCAGCAGCCGCGGUAAUACGUAGGGGGCAAGCGUUAUCCGGAAUUACUGGGUGUAAAGGGAGCGUAGACGGUGAUGCAAGUCUGGAGUGAAAGGCGGGGGCCCAACCCCCGGACUGCUCUGGAAACUGUGUAACUUGAGUGCAGGAGAGGUAAGCGGAAUUCCUAGUGUAGCGGUGAAAUGCGUAGAUAUUAGGAGGAACACCAGUGGCGAAGGCGGCUUACUGGACUGUAACUGACGUUGAGGCUCGAAAGCGUGGGGAGCAAACAGGAUUAGAUACCCCGGUAGUC
rnacentral:rRNA from 1 species